CAUCGAAACUUUAAUAAUAGUAAUAAUAAUAAAAAUAACAAUAAUAAUAAUAAUAAUAAUCUUCCAAAAAUGCAAUAAUAUUAUCAACAUCGACAUUAUUAUGAUACUCAAGCCAAAAAAAAAGGGCGGUUGACUCCCUCUCAGAAAAAAAAUAAACGUAAAUUAUAAAUAAAAGUCGUAAAUAGUCUUUUUUUACAGAAACACCAAAAUAUAGAUAAAAAAACGAAUAUAUAUGUACAAAUAAUGGAAUGAAAAGGAAGGAAUGAUUAGAAGAAGAAUGGUGGAAUGCAGGAAAUAUAUGUUAAAAAAAAAAUUCUAAUUAUUUUCCAUUUCUUUUCUCUCUCUCUCAAUUACUCGUCUUUGAAUAUUGUGGAAUGUCCCAAACAGACACACACACACACAUACACAUAGGCCUAUAUCACAAGCUCUCCCUUCUUUCCUACAAGCUCUCCCUUCCUUCAUUACAAAUUAUCUCUUCCUUUAUUACAAGCUUUCUCUUCCUUCCUAAGUCCAUAUUACAAGCUCUCCCUUCCUUCCUACAAGCUCUCCCUUCCUUCAUUACAAGUUAUCUCUUCUUUUAUUACAAGCUUUCUCUUCCUUCCUAAGUCCAUAUUGCAAGCUCUCCUUUCCUUCCUACAAGCUCUCCCUUCCUUCAUUACAAGUUAUCUCUUCCUUUAUUACAAGCUUUCUCUUCCUUCCUAAGUCUAUAUUACAAGCUCUUCCAUUCCUUCCUACAAGCUCUCCCUUCCUUCCUACAAGCUCUCCCUUCCUUCAGUACAACCUCUCUCUUCCUUCCCAUCUGCAUAAGUCUUUAUUACAAGCUCUCCCUUCCAUCCAAAGUCCACAUUACAAUCUCUCCCUUCCUUCCUACAAGCUCUCCCUUCCUUCAUUACAAGUUCUCCCUUCCUUCAGUACAAGCUCUCUCUUCCUUCCUAUGUGCAUAAGUCUUUAUUACAAGCUCUUCCUUCCUAAGUCCUUAUUACAAGCUGUCCCUUCCUUCUUAAGCCCUAAGUCCAUAUUACAAGCUCUCCCUUCCUUUCUAAGCCCUCAGGCCCAUAUCACAAGCUAUCCCUUCCUUCCUAAAUCAUUCCCUUGAGGUCAUUUCCAACAGAUGGUUAGCCAGAUUCUGUUCCCUAAAUAAUUAGUUAGUUAGUUAAUUUGUCAGCUCUCAAAAUAAUACUAAACACUUCUAAAAUUCAUUGUAUAGUGUUCUGUGUUCAUGCAUAGGUUAAGAAAUUUGAGGAAAGCUCUGGAAAUUAUAUGAGAAAUCUGUGAAAGCGAGUUCUUGGUGAUGUAUUGAAAACCUGACCACUGUGGAAUGUAUAGUAUGGUAUAGUCUGAUUUGGGUGGCUACAAAGACCCUGUGUUGGACUAUAUUGAUUUCACAUACUAAGACUUAUAGCUUUUAGUGAGGAAGGGAGAGCUUGGACCAUGACUGUUAGACACACACACACACAGACAAAGUGAGUAAGUGUAUUAAAUGGAAAAGGAAUAAGAAGAGAGAUAAAGGAAGGAGAUUUAUAUGAAGGAAUGAAGGAAUGAGAGAAAGAGAAGUGUAAGGAGCUUGAUUUUCUGAAGUAUUUUUUUUUUUAGAAGAUAAACGAAAUAUGAGGAAGGAAAAAGGAGGGAAAUAAAUGAUAAACGAAGUGUAAUAGAACAGGAAAAGAUCCAGAAGAAGGAAGAAAAUAAAGGAAAGAGUUACAAUAAUGAUUUAAAAAGAAAGGAAGUAGAAAGGGAAAUGAUUUUAGAGAAACAGAACAAAGAGGAAAAGAGAAGAGGAAGAGAGGAAGGAAAGAAUAGAACAGAGGAGAAAGGAAUGAAGGAAAGAUUGAAGGACAAAUAGACAGAAAUACAAAGAAAGGCAGAAAGAGAGAAAGGAAUAACAGAAGAACUAAAUAAAGGAACAGAGGAAGGUAAGAGAAAGAUGUAAUGGAAGGAAGGAAAGUUGCAAUGAAAGAGAUGAAUAUAGACAAGAAGCAGUGAUGAAUAAUAGAUAAAAGAGAAUAAAAAUGUAAGAAAAAGAUAUAGAAAAGAAUGGGAAGUAAAAGAAAGAAGGAAAGAGAACAGGAAUAGGGAAAAAAAGGCAUAAAUUUGGUAAACUAAUAUAGGAGUGUGAGAAAGGGAAGGAAACAAAAAUAAAAAGAAUAGAAGUGAGAGAAAAAUAAAAAAAACAGGAAUAGGAAGAAAUAAAUAGAAUGAGAAAAAGAAAGAGAUAGAAAAAAAUGGAGUUCUCGAGGAAAUGAAAGAAAAAUGUAAAAAAUGUAAAAAAAAAAACAGGAAUAGGAAAAAAUAAAUAGAGUGAGAAAAAGAAAGAGAGAUAGAAAAAAAUGGAGUUCUCGAGGAAAUGAAAGAAAAAUGUAAAAAAUGUAAAAAAAAAAAACAGGAAUAGGAAAAAAUAAAUAGAAUGAGAAAAAGAAAGAGAUAGAAAAAAUGGAGUUCUCGAGGAAAUGAAAGAAAAAUGUAAAAAUGUAAAAAAAAAACAGGAAUAGGAAAAAAUAAAUAAAAUGAAAGAAAGAGAGAUAGAAAAAAUGGAGUUGUCAAGGACGGAGUAUUUGUGGACAGGAGUGCGUGAUCGAGUGAGUUUGAGUUUUGUGAAAGUCUUCAUCGGGCGACAUUUUCGGAGGAGGAAAAAAAGAAAAAAAAAAAGGGCGUCAAUGAGAUAGCAUAAAUAUAUAAGCUUAGAUAGAUCGUUAAGUCUCUCAUCCAUUGUUAUAAGACCUUCGUUUGUUUGUUAGUAAGUUUGUUUUGUUUUGAUAGGGAGUGCAAUACCUUAUUUUUGUGCAUGUUUUGCUAAUUUGUACUCGCCAUCCAAAUUUGUACUCAUUAUUAUUAUUAUUAUUAUUAUUAUUAUUAUUAUUAUUAAUAUUAUUUAGACAUUCGAUAACUUUCCUCUAAUUAAUAUCUCAGUCAAGUAUUUUCUCUUCAUUAAGCAUUAUUGUUUUAUUAUUAUUAUUAUUAUUAUUGUUAUCAUUAUUAUUAUUAUUACUAUAGUACAAAAUAACAAUAGCUUCAAUUAACAAUGCUAUAAUUUUCUUUUCUUUUAAAAACUGAGAAAAAAAUAAUAGAUAAAAUUAAAUAAUGGAAAAAAAUGAAAUAAAAUAAAAUUACCUGCUUCUGUGAUUUAAUAAAGCUUGAAUUUCCCAUUUAAUUUUAUUUAUUUAUUUAUUUAUCAUUUAUUAUGCGCGUACUAAUUGGUCUGACGAGUACAAACUGGCAACUCUAUAAAUAAAUCCAAUGUGUUAAGUAAAAGUCUAGAUUCACACCCACAAAUAUAUAUAUAUAAAAAAAACUCUUCCGUGUAUUGUGUAACCUUGGACGUUCAUGCACACACACACACAAACACACACACACACACACACACACACACACACAUACAUUAAGGUUACAAUACCAUUAUAUCUGAUACGUUUUUCACCUUAAGAAUCUAAUUGGUGGCAUCGGAAGAAGAUGAAGUAGACGAAGAAGAAGAUCGUGUGAUAUAUAUAUAUAUAAAUGUAUUGAUUUUCUCAUUUUUAAACUUAUCAAUCUUUUAUUUAAACAUAUAUAUAGCAGCAGCAGCAGUGGUAAUAGUAGUAAUAGUAGCAGUAUAAUAUCAACAAUAAUAAUAAUAAGAAUGAUCUAUAAUAUUACACAAUACGUACGACUGCUCUCUCUCUCUUCAGAAUAAAAAUAAAUGAAAAAAAAAUUGGUUUACAUCAGUCUCCCCUUGCUUAUUUAAAUUCUCCAAUACUCUUAGACUCUCAAAAUCAUCAAUAUAUCUCUAUGUGUAUAUGGCGAAGACAAACGUGUUGAGCAAAUGUAGCUAUAAUAAUUAUGGUCACGGUGGGAGGAAUGCACGAAACCACACGAAAAAGGGUCAACUACGUACCAGCGCUUCUUCUACGAACUUUUGGAUAGGCUAAAAUGUGCCCUGGUUAACCUUUCUUUAUUCCUGACCUUUCUUUCUUUUACUGACCUUUCUUAUGUGUCAGUGCUUCUUCUAUGAACUUCUGGAUAGGCUAAAAUGUGCCCUGGUUAACCUUUCUUCAUUUUCCUUAUUCCUGACCUUUCUUUCUUCUUAUUGACCUUAUUUACGUACCAGCGCUUCUUCUAUGAACUUCUUGGAGAGGCUAAAAAUGUGCCCUCUUCAACCUGUCAGUAUUUUUCACAACCUCUCCCUGUAACAUUUUCCAACAUGGGUCUUAAUUUACUCUAUCCCUCUCUAUCUCUCUCUUACCUAACAGUCUUUUCAAUGGAGCCUUUCAAUUUAUCUUCUUUGAUUCAUUAUUUCUCUACUGAAAGGGCGUGAAAUAUGUGUUCUUAGCCUGCUCUUACAACCUAUUCUAAACACAUAUGCACUCAUGUCCCUUAUAUCUAAUCAUUUUUCCCUUAAGAGACAAGAUCGGGAAUUUAUGUCUGACUGUCCAUCCUGAAAUCCAUUACAUAUAACAAUAUCUCUCUUUAUCCCUUGUCCUCAUUAUCACAAGCUAUACCAAACACAUAUUCACACACAGCUCUUCUAUCUAAAACUUAUGUCUGACAGACCAUCCUGAAAUCCAUUACGUAAACACAUUUCUCUCUCUUUCCCUCUCUUACCUCUCUUUCAAUGUCCUAUAACCACUUUCUAACAUUGGUCUUUAAUCUGUUUGUCCCUAUUAAUAUAACAUUCCUUCUGAGACAAGAUCGGAAACGCCUGACUGACUGACCAUUCAGAAAUCCAUUACGUAAACACAUUUCUCUCUCUCCCUCUCUUACCUCUCUUUCAAUGUCCUAUAACCACUUUCUAACAUUGGUCUUUAAUCUGUUUGUCCCUAUUAAUAUAACAUUCCUUAUGAGACAAGAUCGGAAACGCCUGACUGACUGACCAUUCUGAAAUCCAUUACGUAAACACAUCAUCUCUCUCUCUCUCCCUCGUCCUCAUCAUCCGAGUGAAACCAUAAGAGAACUAAGAACGGCGACGGCUCCACCUGUGUUUACGCGACCUCACUAAUUACAGACUAAGUUGGCAACACUUGACGCCUAAGGAACAACGCGCUGCUCUAAGAUUAUUGCGUUUACACCGCUCGACGGAACGCUGAGCUGGCCAACUGAGGAGGAGGAGAAGGAGGAGGAGGAAGGGACCUAGGGCCGCAUUACAAGUCGAAUCCGAGAAGUUUCAGGUCCCUUCAAAGUUUGGUUUAGGGGCCACAUUACAAGUUGAAUCUUUGAAGUUUUGGGUCGCUCCAGAGUUAUCCCGAACUCUGCAGGGACACGAAACUUCACGGGUUUAACUUGUAAUAUGGCCCCUAGUGGUAACCUGACACCAGCUGGACCCAGACACGAAAGCCCCUGAGCCUGGCGGAGGAUGGAACGCGCUCGCUGGAAUCACAAAACAACAGGAACUGGAAACUAUGAUUACAUCGAAAGAAUAUUGUAUCAGAAAAGUCGUAUAUGGAAACAAGCAACUCUGGGCUUAUGGAACUGAAAAAUAUGAUUACGUCGACUGGAUAUUAUAGCGGAAAAGUCGUAUGAGGAAAUAAGCGACUCUAAACUUUGUGGUCAUUUAUACAAAGGCCCAGAAUUGCUUUACGAGAUGAGUUUUCUUAUUGAUGAAGGUGAAUUUUAAUGUCGUUUUUAAAAGAGUUGGCGCUUGUCGUUUUGUGAUUUCCAGAGAGCCUGUGAUGUAUGUGUGUGUGUGUGUGUGUGUGUGUGUUACUUGUAUCAUUUCUGGGUCUUUUUUGAGUUAAGUGAAGGGAAAAACUGGAAAAAACAACCUAUGUGCUGGGCUGAAGGGAAUGUGCUGACUGACUGGACCAAAAAUUACGAGGCCAAACCAUUCCUUCUUUAUGUGGGAAAUGAAACACUCUCUCUCUCUCUCUCUCUCUCUCUCUCUUUUUUUUUUUCCUUUGCUUCUCUUAUCCUCCAUUUUUUUCAUCAAUUUUCUUUUAUUAUAAGAAUUUUAGGACGUAAGUAGUCUGCAAGAGCUAGGUUACAUACUUGAUGAUGACCAUUCUUAAGAGUUCUGAUUGGCUGAACGCUUGGAGGAAAAGGUUCUGAUUGGCUGAUUGUUUUCUAUAGCUUCUUAUAGUUAUGAUUGGCUGAAUGCUAGGAGGAAAUGCUUCUGAUUGGCUUAGAGAAUGGGACAGUGUUUCUCAUAGCUUCUUAUAGUUAUGAUUGGCUGAAUGCUUGGUUCUGAUUGGCUUAGAGGAGAGGACAGGCCUUCUCAUAGCUUUCUAGAGUUAUGAUUGGCUGGGAGCUUACAGGAAACACUUCUGAUUGGAUGAUUGGCUUAGGCAGAGGACAGGGUUUCACUUCCCACAUAGCAAAGUCAGUAUAGCCAGAACUGUCAUGUGCUAAUCCUUAUGAGCUGUUAAUCUAGUGAGCAGUAAAGUAAGGGGUCAGGGAGGUGCCUCAAGUGUGCUAGAAAUACUCCUUCCUCUGAGUUAACAAGUGUAAAACAUUCUGUGUGUGUGUCUGUUGCUGUACUGGCUGCCCACGAUAACUUGACACAUGAGCCCCGGGUUGGUGUUUUCAGCUUCCACGCCUCACAUUGACUAUUUCCAAAAGCCUAAGAGGAGGUCAAUCAGGUCUUCAAGAGUGUUUUUUCAGGUUCAUGGUACAGAGGAAGGGUCAAACUACCACCAGGGUCACUAAACUAGCCCUGGAAAUGCCCCAAACUCCCAUGAAAGCCUUGUCGAAUGUGCGUUUCUUUAGGUUCGUCGUACAGAGGAAGGGUCAAACUACCACCAGGGUCACUAAACUAGCCCUGGAAAUGCCCCAAACUCCCAUGAAAGCCUUGUCGAAUGAGAGUUUCUUUAGGUUCAUGGUAGAGAGGCCUGUGGCUUUGUUGGUAGGCAUGCUAUCCACUACACCAAUGAGCUGCUGGGAAAGGUGAGUCUAUUGGUGGAGAGCUGUUGUGGGCGGGGCUUAUGUGUCAGGUUAGGGUGACCAGCGCACAAUAUAAUGACUAAGCUUCAGGCGCUAAUUAGGCAGCAGAAAGCAUCAUAACACCUAACACUACCAUAACAUUACGAGGGACAAAUAUAACGUCUCUAAAUAGAACCUAAAAACUACCUUGGUUCUGAGCCUUACGAGCAUCCUGUAGUAAGAUGCUGCCCGGACCCGAGAAACUGCUAAUGAUGACUAUGAUGGCUAGGUAAGUAUAGUAACGACUCACGUGGAUGGAGGAGGAAGGGUGAACCUGCUCUCGCUCUCUCUCUCGCUCUUUCUCUCUCAAUCACUUGUUCCACCGUCUGUCACUCCCUACGUACAGCGCAGCUCGAAAUAAAAUCGUAACCACACUGAAAUACCUAUAACUUAUCCUACUAAGAAUCUGCCAUGUCUAAGCCUCGACGUAACCACACAAAGGGGAAAUUAUCGCAACGUUUUAACUAUAGGAAUCGUUGUUGGCGUCGUCGGUGGCCCCAUACGGAGUGUCGGGGAUCGAGAUAGAGGACGUGUGACCGCUUGACUAGUAAAUGUCCUCCACUGAAGUGUACUCAACUCAUGUCAACUUCAAAACAAGCCCUUCUCCGUUUCCUAAUUAAAAUAUAUCAAUGGUCGUUCAUUUAGUAACCCACACUCCCUCUAUCUCAAUCUGCAAGGGACUGGUGAAGGCUGGGAGAGGUUAAAUCUUACUGGUGGAUGCUGGGAAAAGCUAAAGCUUAUUGGUGGAUGCUGACAAAGGUUAAAUCUUACUAAUGGAUGCUAGAAAGGGUUAAAUCUCAUUGGUGGAUGCUGGGAAAGGUUGAAAUCUUAUUGGUGGAUGCUGGGAUGCACUGAAUCUUACUGGUGGAUGCUGGGAAAGGUUAAAUUUUACUGGCUGACACUUGAAAAGGUUAACUCUCGUUGGUGACACUUGGGUUGAAAAGAGGAAGGACUUACUUAUCAACUUAACACAAGGAGAGUACAGUCGAGUGAAGGGCGAGACCUCAUCCAGUACUGUAAGAGUUUUGUCCAGCUUGGUAACCAUCCUAAAACUAUAUUAGCAGACUGUCAUGGCCGUGGAUUAAGUAUAGGCGAAAGAAAUUGUAUAAACGUAUCAAUUGUGGACGCCAGGGUACUCGAGUGGCACUGUCCAAACUGAGCAAUGACAGAUAAUAAAUAGAUGACAAAAGAAAUUGAAUAGACGUAAUGACUGAAGCAUGUCGUAGUGAGGUGACAAGCGACACUGUUCGAACCGAGAAAUAAAAGUUUAUACGUAAAUAGACAAAGAAAGAAAUUGAGUAAACGUAAUGACUGAGGCGUGUCAUGGUGAGGUGACAAGCGACACUGUUCGAAC